GUUGUAACCAAUCAAACAUCUCUCAAAUUAUAAGUUUCAUACAGCUAGACCUCAUUUUUCACUUCUCUAGGGAAACAAAACAGGCUUGCUUGUUUUGAGAUAUUUAUUUUAUCUUCAUUUUUACACCAGUUUGUUGAUGUCAUUUGUUUAGAAAUAAAAAGAAUGUUUUUAUUUCCUUUCUCCUGCUCUGCAUUGUGGAUUAAACAGAAUUGUUAAAUGUCAUAUCAUGUCCUUUGAAUAAUGUUAAUUUAAUGAAAGCAUUGUGUAUGACUGUGUGACUAAACUGAAUUUGACUUUUGCUUAGUGAACUGCAGUUGGUCUGUUUUAUGCCAGUUAAAGGCCUGGGUAGUUGAUCUCAAAGUAUAAUUUAUUGGCAAAAAAUUUUUAAUCAUUUUCUUUUUCUCUUUUAUCUCAAGUUUACUCUCCAAGACACAUUUUGGUGAAACUCACGAUAAGCAUUUGGUGAUUAUUCCAAGCAAUCCAACAAAAUACAUGACUACAGAUGUGCCAUAUCCAUUCAGACAGAACACAGACUUUCUGUACUUAACUGGUUUUCAAGAACCAGAUGCUGUUUUAGUAUUACAAACCUUAGAAGGCCAGUCAUUGCCAGCACAUAAGAGUACCUUGUUCAUUCAACCACCUGACCCCAAAAGG